AACGACUUUUUCCGAUCUACGAGUGAUGAAUAGGAGGGAAUUAAAUUCCCUUCAAUUUAUCUCAAUACAUCUCUAAUCGAGCUCUUUUAGCAACCUGAGAUCCCGGGAGGAUCCGGCCCAAUCCCUACCGGUGAUUUCGCCGCACGGUGAUUUCGCUGAGCACGAGCACUCCCUCGCACCUGCGUGCUCAGUGAAGCACCGGAGCUUCCUCGCGCACGGCUGCCUCCUCUUCUUCGCGCAAGCACCGGAUCUUCCUCCUCUUCUUUAUGCAAGGCAUUAGAUCUCCCUUCUCUUCUCUUCUCUGGAGAGCUUUUUCUGGAGCUUGGGCGUGAGGAUCCUGCAGGCCGGUGGCGUGGAGCGCGCGUUCCGGCGCGCCUUGUCAGCCGAGAAAGUCGAGCUGGUGAAGUCCCUCCACUCUACACCACCGGCGGGCCCAUAGCACGGCAGCCUCAGCCCCCGCGCGGUGAGCUAAUCUAUUGUCGGCAUGGAUGUAGUCACUCCACUUCAGAAAAGAGUCAGUUGCAUGGCUCCUGGCGAACAUUGGACAUGUUUAUUUUGUUACCUUUGCUGUUACAAAUUUGGCACUCAUUUAUUUUGAGCGUUGCGUGGUCAAAGAAAGAAGGUUGUUUAUUUGAGUGGCAUGAAUAAAAAAGUCUUAUUAACUGAGUGUGAGUGUUUUGAUGAUGAACAUAAAAUGACCUCCGACUG
rnacentral:lncRNA from 1 species